AUUCCUGUGGCACAAUGGGUCAAUGCAUCUGGCUGUUAACACAGAGUUUUGGUGGUUCAAGUCUACCCAGGGAUG